GUGCUCCUUUUGGCAGCCCAUAUGCAAAAACUGGAACAAUACAGGGAAGAUGGGCAUGGCCUCUGCCUCAAGUACCCAUCAUGGCAGACAUGAGAGAGAUGCUG
ensembl:snRNA U6 U6 spliceosomal RNA